CAGACACAGGGCACAGAUCGUGAGCACUCCUGCUCCUCCUGGGAAGAAAAAGCCCCAAUCCCAGCCAGCCACUCCACUUCCCUGAACGGGGACUCCCUUGGUGCCCACUCUCCUACUUCCAGAUCUGACCUUACAGAGGUGUCAACCCAGGGAAGGAGAAUUGGACAGGAAUUCCUUGACAAUAUGAUCAACAGGAAAUCUGCCCUGCCCUGUGCCUUUGCAAUGUGAGUCCAAUUCCUCUUCUGACUUCAGCGAAGACUGAGCCUCAGAGAACCAUCCACCAAGAUGAUUUGUAUUGGAAGGAAGGCCAGAGCUUGCUUAUAGUCCACACCAAAGACAAUACUUUCUGAACAAGAGGUCGAGAGAGAGGAAGAUCAGAUGGAGCAGUCAAGCUAACCAAUCAAAGAGAAAAUUGGAUGCUCAUCCACAUGGCGGAUGCCAUCUUUGUGGAAAGACUCUUUUAAGAUGGAGCUAUGCUGGGGCAAUUUAAACAAGGG
rnacentral:lncRNA from 1 species